CCAGACUCCUACGGGAGGCAGCAGUGAGGAAUAUUGGUCAAUGGUCGGGAGACUGAACCAGCCAAGCCGCGUGAGGGAUGAAGGUACAGAGUAUCGUAAACCUCUUUUGUCAGGGAACAAAGGCGGGGACGUGUCCCCGGAUGAGUGUACCUGAAGAAAAAGCAUCGGCUAACUCCGUGCCAGCAGCCGCGGUAAUACGGAGGAUGCGAGCGUUAUCCGGAUUUAUUGGGUUUAAAGGGUGCGUAGGCGGAGGUGCAAGUCAGCGGUCAAAUUGCGGGGCUCAACCCCGUACUGCCGUUGAAACUGCAUCCCUUGAGUGCGCGAGAAGUAUGCGGAAUGCGCAGUGUAGCGGUGAAAUGCUUAGAUAUUGCGCAGAACUCCGAUUGCGAAGGCAGCAUACCGGCGGCGAUCUGACGCUGAGGCACGAAAGCGUGGGUAUCGAACAGGAUUAGAUACCCGAGUA
rnacentral:rRNA from 1 species